GCUUGAGGGAGACAUGGACUGUGGAGGGAUACAGCUGGAGAGAAAAUAAUCAAAACAAGGCAGAUGAGAGGGAGUUAGAGGAACCUGUUCAACGCUGACACUUCAAAAGCUCGUGCAGAGGCUCCGUGGCAACAGUACUGCCGGCUUCCUGUGUGGCUUUCCGUUUAUUAGCUUGUUGUUUGGGGGGUGUGAGAAUCCAUUUAGAUAAUUCCCACAAGAAAAAAGUGCAAAUGACUCAUAAACAUACGAAAUAAAUGUUCAACAACACUUGUAAUCAAAGAAAUGCAAAUAUAAAACAAGAUAGCGUUUUCACCUAUCAAAUUAACAAAGAUUAAAAGGAAUUCUAAUACUCAACAGACUGGUGAGAUGGCCCAUCUCACACAGCUGACGUGUUAAUUGGUAUAACCUUUCUCCUGGCAAUAGGUAGCAAAAAUCUUAAAAGUAUGCAUACUCCUUGACCUAGUCGUUCACCUUCUAGGGAUCUACUCCAAGGACAGCAGCAGCAAUUUGAGCAAAGACUUAAUCACAAAAGUUUCAUUGGAAUGUUAUUUACAACAAGAAAAAGUACAAAAAUAAAAUGUGACUCUUAUGAAUUGUAUAGUAUAAAUAUAAAACAUAAAUAUAAAAAUAGAUUAUAACACUUCCUCAUCAAUUAAUAAUAUGCAGCAAAUUCAUGUAUUUUAAGAGUAUAUAUGAAGUGAAAAAAUCAAUAUCGUAUAUAUUAGGAUCCUGAUUUUUUAAAUUGGGAGAGGAAGACAAUACAUCAAAAUAUUAACAGAGACUAUUUCUAUGUAAGUGAUUUCAAAGGUUUUUUUUUAUAUUUUUUGAAAUUCUCCACAAUGAACAUAUGGUAAUCAGAAAAUGCAAGCAGUAUUUUAAAGCAUGUAAAUAAAGGACUAAAAGUAUAUUUGUCAUGGUGGGCUGUACAACAAACUCCAAAGCUUGGAGGCUUAAAACAAUUAAGGUUUAUUUCUCACUCGUAUUGGAAGUCAGCUAGGGACUCAUACCCACAUUACUUUACUCAGGAACAAAAACUAAUAGAGCCUCCAUCACCAAUCACCAUGGCAGAGAGAAGGAAAUGUAUCAAAUCAUACACUGACUCCUAAUGACUCGUCCAGAGGUGAUACAGGCUAUUUUCAUCUACAUUUUCACUGGCCACAGCCAGUCAGAUGACCAGUCCUAUGUAAUGCAAACAGGGAAGUUCAACCCUACAAUGUGCCUAGAGGAAAGAAAACAAGAAAAAAAAUUGUGAAUAGGACAAAUACUUACUACCAAAAAAGCAUUGAUUUUGUCUUAGGAAUUAUUUAAAUGUCCAACUGAAGGUCUUUCCUCUGUGCUUUAUUAGUAGUAAAGAUGUGAUAUUCACAUGACCCUAAACAAUUUGAUUCUGCUUCUCAAUUCACAGCUUCAAACCCAAGAUAUUCAGGAGAUGCCAUUAAUGCCGGCAAAAGGCUGUUUUAAAAGGCAAAAGGUGUGCACAUACCACAGCCACAUUAUAGAAAUGUACUUUCCUUCCAGAGUCCUUGGAGUAUUCAGAGAAAUUCCAGCAUUUCUUAGUCCCAUUCUAAACAUACAAAAAUCCAGAUAAGCAAUGAAGCAAUGUUGGAAAUUUCUCCCACCUUUUCCCAGUGUUGGAGAACAAGGCCCAAUCUAUACAAGGUCCUUAAACCACCUUCUAGAAACACUUUUCUAGUCAGUAUAAUCUGUUUUCUUUUUAAUUCUGUACUCUGCAUGUAAAAGAUUAGAACACACCAAUCCCAAAAUAUGACUAUUAGUGUUUAAAAAAUAACAUCAUAAUCCUCUGCACAUUCAAACGAUUCAUCAUGCUUACUCAAGUAAAUACCAUUUUAAAG
rnacentral:lncRNA from 10 species